rnacentral:rRNA from 1 species
AUUGAACGCUGGCGGCAGGCCUAACACAUGCAAGUCGAACGGUAACAGGAAGAAGCUUGCUUCUUUGCUGACGAGUGGCGGACGGGUGAGUAAUGUCUGGGAAACUGCCUGAUGGAGGGGGAUAACUACUGGAAACGGUAGCUAAUACCGCAUAACGUCGCAAAACCAAAGAGGGGGAUCUUCGGGCCUCUUGCCAUCGGAUGUGCCCAGAUGGGAUUAGCUAGUAGGUGGGGUAACGGCUCACCUAGGCGACGAUCCCUAGCUGGUCUGAGAGGAUGACCAGCCACACUGGAACUGAGACACGGUCCAGACUCCUACGGGAGGCAGCAGUGGGGAAUAUUGCACAAUGGGCGCAAGCCUGAUGCAGCCAUGCCGCGUGUAUGAAGAAGGCCUUCGGGUUGUAAAGUACUUUCAGCGGGGAGGAAGGGAGUAAAGUUAAUACCUUUGCUCAUUGACGUUACCCGCAGAAGAAGCACCGGCUAACUCCGUG